ensembl:lncRNA
CUUUUAUUCAAUGACUCCUUUGUUAUUUCAUUCUUCCUUUGUUGCCAUGGUUAACAGCCACACACUUGUAAACAAUAAAAAUAUUAUUUUGGAACAUCUUUUGUUGCACUUUCAAAAUUAUUUUAAAACCAUGUAAUGUACUAAAUAUUUUUCAGUGUGUUAAAAUUGAUACAAUUAUUUGAUUUCAAUUAUAUACAAGUAUACAACAUUUAAAAAUUACUGGGUUAUUUCACUCAAUGAACUAUUUCUAUAGUCCAAAAGUACAACACUUUAAGUAUACAGCUUGUUAACUUUAGGUUGUCUGCUGAGUGUAAACUGUUGAAAUUAGAAUGAGGACAAAAGUCAAGUGUUAACAACUAAUUUGCAUGUGCAAAGUUUGAGGAGUUUCCAGAAAUGUCCAGAGCUGACUUGUUACGACUGGUUAAAAUCGUUUUAUAUCGUGACUUCUCUGUAUUGGUCUUUUACCAUGACCAAGAUCUUUACUUGUAUGGACACACUACGAAACAGGCCUUAUCAUGCAGUGUUAAGAACAGCUUAGGAUGUUAUUUCACCCAAAAAUGUAUCUAGAACUAUCCCUUUAAUUUUUGGGAUGCGCUUCCUGUUUCGGUUCAGCAACACUUUGAAUUAGAAACUCCCAGCUAGAAAAACAGCUGAAACUCCAAAACAGAAACAUUGAAUAAGUGUUUAUUUUAUUAUUGUAUUGCAGGUUCAACUAGGUGCUUUAAAGAAUCAGGAGGUCAGUUUGUUCAUUUUUCCAUUUCCCUUUUAGCUGGAUGCUGAGUCCGCAGGCUCAGCUUCUGUAUUCUCCAACAUAAGAAACCUGGGGUUGGUUAGGUUGUUGUCCUGGAGUGAAGCAGUCAUUAGGAGUCACAACCACUCCCGUCUUAUCACUGUUUACGACAGAUUGCUCUGAUCCAGCUGAGCCCCAUGGAAUUAGUCUAUUUAGUGGUGUUGUGUAACCCUGUGUAGUCUGGUCAGGUCGGUGUGUUUCCUCUCCUAGGUGCCGUCAUCCGGAUUAGUUCCCUGAUCCUGGUUUAGGUGUGGUAUUGGAGGUGGGCCAGGCACUAGACAGUCAGACUUUUGAGGCAAUAAGAGAACCACUCCAUGCAUUUCAAGCCUUCUUAAAACGGUCUGCUGAACAUCAUCCGCAUCCUGUCAUCAUAUCUAUUUACACAAAUUAUGCCCAAAAUCUGUUACAGCUGUCUAAGAAUGCAGGUAGAAUCCAGACACUGUAAGCGGAUGUGAACAGAGCUUUACUGGAUGGCAAAGACGAAGUUGGAGAAACAUGCAACAAUACCUGCAAAACAUUUACUACUGGACUAGUCAAUCCAGAAGGGUAUCAUCUACCAUUCUACCGGGACUUUCUGUUGAAAACUCCUGUUUCAUUUACACAAAACGUUUGAAUUUACCAGGUGUGUUGACAUAGUCUUCCAGUGGGGACCUGAGGACAGACCUGAGGACAGGCCUGAGGACAGGGUAGGUUUUGUAGCUCACCAAGUCUCCAUGACGCAUGGUUUUCAUUAGGCCUAAUUCAGUGGUAUUGCAGUCAACAACAAUUUGGCUCCAGCGCUGCGUGUGUGUUCAGACUAAACCGGACAGAAAGAGUCAGACAAUCAGCACUGGGUAAGGAAGUGACAAAAGUGACAGAAAUCGACAAGUCCUUAAAAGGAGCUGUCCAGUACACUUUGACAAGAAGCCGUUAUGUGGCAUCGAGGUGUGCUGUAGCCUCUACAUGACCAACCAUCCCUGGAGAACCACCUCAUCAAAAUGAGUAUUCCAUCAAAGGGACAACCAAACAAGAAACCAGGCAAACCUAGUUCCGCCAGCCUGCAAUAGAAUGUAUUGCCAUCUCAAGAUUCAAAACCCGGGUCACCCAUGUGAAAGGCUGUGUCGUUAACCACGACACCACAGAGCUGUACACUUGCUGGGUGUCAGUAUAGCCUCUUGUCUCUAUCCUGAACAAAUCCUCUUUUGCCACUGGUCGUUUUAAUAGUUAAUUACCCAUUUGUGAAUGACAUUAAUACAGUUAAACUGACUAACGUUUCUUACAAAGUUUACCUCCACCACAAAUAGCGUCUAUGUAUUGCGUUUGCCACUGGCCGUUUUAUCAGCGUAUUAGACAGUAAUAAGCUUUACCCUUAUCUGCUAACUUACUGGAAUAGUCAUAAGAAUUGAGCAAUUGCUACUGAGUCUGCCAAAGCUAUUUCAUUUAAUGGCAAGAACGUAUUUUCUCUUUCAUGUCAAAACAAUAUACUUCUUUCGUGAAUGACAUUUAUACAAUAACCAUCAACAAAGGCAACGAUAACUAACUUUUUCAUAAAGUGAAAAGACGAGAGAAUCAUGGAAUCUACCAGAAAUAAUUAAUAAAUGUCGUUGCUCUCAAUAGAUUCAAACUUAGGUCUUCCACAUGAGAGGCACUGUCUUUAACCACUACGCCACGGCAUUACAUGUUUCAGCGGUCGCUAGAUACCAUUUACCAGUGUGUUAAACUGACUAACAUUACUUAUUAAGUUUACCUCCACCAUAGUGUCUUACUCUAUGAUGGACUGAAUAAUGCUUCUCAGAGACAUUGUGAUGAUAAUGGAUAUUACAGAUCAUGAUAUUAAACCCACCUGCAAAAAAGGAGCAUAUCAUACUUCCCUAUAUCUGUGUGCAUCACAAUUUACUUCACAUUAAGUUUAAAAACAUACACCAGUGCUUUAAAACACUGUAAUGACAUGUAGAAUAAAUAACAAUAAUUAAAGGAAAGCUCUAAAAAGGAAUGUUUUGAAAAAUAUAAAUACUUUACAGAUAAGUUAGCAGGAUUUUAAAUAGGCAAGCAAAAUACAAUAGUAACCAAUGAUAUGCAUGUAGUAGAAAAAUAAAUUAUAUUAGCAAAUAGUUGUCCUUAUUUUGAUUAUUUAUGGAUUAAUGCUACAGGAAGCAGAGACUAUCAUGGAGAAAGGUUGUUGUGCUACAGGAGUGCUACGCUAUAUUACUUCUGUCAGGAAACACUUAAAAUAAAUAUUUUGAAAGAACAUCCUGUUUCUCUAUCAUCCUUAUAAUCUGUUACAACAUACUGAUGUCACUCCAUUCUCCCUGACUUCAUCUUAUCUAUUUGUAUAUAUGCCCUGCCAUGUUUCAUAACAACAACUCCCAGUGGAUCAACAACUCCUGGGAGAGUUGAAGAUCAUGGGGAGCCUUCCUCCUGGGCAGCUAGUAGGUUCUAACCACGUGACAGCAAGCACCCCAUUCAAGGCUGGAACCUUGGCAACUACUUUCAUUUUCUGUCAAAAUAUCAUUGUCCUAAAUAACAGUGAACUUCCAAAGCCAUUUCUAACAGGAACUCCUCAUCGUUUCCCCCAGGAGACCCCCCACCCUUUCCUCACUUCCUGACAGCUACAGCAGCUCUUUAGGGUUGGGGCCAGAGAGUUGCUGGUCUGUGCCACUUCUCAGGUGACAUGCCACUAACUGAGGCUUAGCAGGAAAAUAGGGGUUCCAAAAGGCUGGGGAGUCCAUGAAACACUUUAAGGACUAUUAUUACAGUCAUUUGCUGGACCUUGGUAAUAAAUAGGAGGCUUAAUAUUCGAGGAAGGUUUUGUAAAAGAAAAUAAUAAUUCUGUAAAUUCUUAUUUGGAAUAAUUAAAAAAACAUCCACCAAAGGAUUUUCUGUCACUUUGGGUAGGCAGGCCAUAUUUAGAACUGCUUUAGCUAAGCGCCCAUGGUUAAAAGGGUGGCGAGUACUAACCCUAUCUAACUGCUUCGCUCCUUCCUCCCAAUGUGAGGCUUGAACCAGCAAACCUCUGAACACAAAGACAAAUGUCAUCCCUGAAGAAUCAUUAGCAUCGCCCUCCAAAAGCCUCAGAGCAAAAUGUAACUGAAGCUACUGGAGCCAACCACAGCACUGACUAACAAUUUCACAGCUGUUACACCUACUGCUACUCUGGCCAUCUCUUCAUCUAUGUGUUUUUCUAUAGCCUAAGAGCAUUUUGUCAGGAUCUCUUCCUUUUGGCUCACAUGUGACUUUUCCAUUUAUUUAUUCCCAGACGGUCACCAUUCAUCUGUCACCAGUGAUAUCACUGGGUGACUUCAAACUUCCAACAUCUCCCUUUAAGUCAUUUCUCGUUUUGUUUCCCAGUACUGUUGACCUCACCCUAAGCCUGUCAACUCCCACUCACAAAGCAGGCACUACCCUUGGUCUAAUCUUUCCCAGAUGCUGUCAACUAGUCUAACCACUACCCCAAUCCAGUCGUCUGACCACAUUUUUGUCUUGUUGUGGCUUUCUCUCUCCUCCACCUCCUCCACCCUCUCUCUCCUC